UACGUAGGGUGCGAGCGUUAAUCGGAUUUACUGGGCGUAAAGCGUGCGCAGGCGGCCCGUUAAGACAGGUGUGAAAUCCCUGGGCUCAACCUAGGAAUUGCGCUUGUGACUGGCGGGCUCGAGUACGGUAGAGGGGGGUGGAAUUCCUGGUGUAGCAGUGAAAUGCGUAGCGAUCAGGAGGAACACCGAUGGCGAAGGCAGCCCCCUGGGCCUGUACUGACGCUCAUGCACGAAAGCGUGGGGAGCAAACAGG
rnacentral:rRNA from 1 species